rnacentral:piRNA from 1 species
UAUAAAAGACACACAAUCCUGGUGUUUUAU